rnacentral:rRNA from 1 species
GACGAACGCUGGCGGCGUGCUUAACACAUGCAAGUGGAGCGACGAACCGGGGCUUGCCCCGGGGCAAAGCCGCGAACGGGCGAGUAACACGUGGGUAACCCACCUCGAUGACCGGGACAACCCGGGGAAACUCGGGCUAAUACCGGAUGUGCUCUUCGGUCUCAAGACCGUCGAGGAAAGGUAGCUUUGGCCUCCGCAUCGAGACGGGCCCGCGGCCCAUUAGCUUGUUGGUGGGGUAACGGCCUACCAAGGCUGCGAUGGGUAGCUGGUCUGAGAGGACGAUCAGCCACACUGGGACUGAGACACGGCCCAGACUCCUACGGGAGGCAGCAGUGGGGAAUCUUGCACAAUGCGCGAAAGCGUGAUGCAGCAACGCCGCGUGGGGAAGAAGGCC